rnacentral:rRNA from 1 species
AUUGAACGCUGGCGGCAGGCCUAACACAUGCAAGUCGAGCGAGCGGCGGACGGGUGAGUAAUGUCUGGGAAACUGCCUGAUGGAGGGGGAUAACUACUGGAAACUGUAGCUACUACCGCAUACCCUCAGAUGUGCCCCGAUGGGAUUAGCUAGUAGGUGGGGUACCGGCUCACCUAGGCGACGAUCCCUCGCUGGUCUGAGAGGAUGACCAGACACACUGGAACUGAGACACGGUCCAGAUGCCUACGGGAGGCAGCAGUGGGGAAUAUUGCACAAUGGGCGAAAGCCUGAGGCAGCCAUGCCGCGUGUGUGAAGAAGGCCUUCGGGUGGUAAAGCACUUUCAGCGGGGAGGCGUUACCCGAAGAGGAAGCAACGGCUAACUCCGUGCCAGCAGCCGCGGUAAUUC